UCAUCCAUUAUUUUAGAUGACAUCCUUUAUGUCACAUCAAUGAAAAUUCUAAUCCUUCUGAUAGAUUUACCCAACUGUGAGCAAGACUCAGCUUCGGGAAUGUAAGCCCUCAGCAGAUACAACAACGAGUCAUAUUCAAGUUGUAGCACAAAGUUCGUACAGCCGUGAUUAUUCCCGAACACCUAUGCAGAAGUAGAUGUUUGGCAGGCUUUGCAGCAACUGCCAUAUAGCUUCUUUUUGCACGAUGGAACAAGGAUUCUCUUAUCAUCAUCAAAUAUGUUACACAUGGCAGAACCCUGCUGAAAGAAAGCAGGGACAUGACAAAUAGGUCUUUGGAAAAUGUCUACCCCAAGAGUAAUGAAUACACUUGUCUUCUUACCAUAAACCAGCUGUAGGAUAAAAUUUGAUGGUUUCCCGGGUAAAACUAUGUUGCUAAUGUAAUGUUACUGAUACUUGCUAAUCUGUCCAGCAGUCAUUUUCACGGAUGAUCAAAUCAGGAGGCUAAGAAGAAUUAUAUGUCUAAUAUUGAAUUUUUGGAUGGGCUUACCCAACAUUUUUUCAUUAGCUUAUAGAACGGCCAGCCAAUGACACAAUUUAACUGUUUGAUAACUUUUUGGAAGGACAUUAUAUGACGGAGGAUCAGCCAUUCAAAGUGGCAUUUUAUGGUUGAUAUUUCAACUACUCAUUUUUGUUUGUAGUGAACACAUACAUUCUUCAAUAACAAAACAAAAAAAUGUUUUGC